rnacentral:rRNA from 1 species
UACGUAGGGGGCAAGCGUUGUCCGGAUUUAUUGGGCGUAAAGAGCGUGUAGGCGGCCUGAAAGGUCAGCUGUGAAAACUCGAGGCUCAACCUCGAGACGUCGGUUGAAACCAUCUGGCUAGAGUCCGGAAGAGGAGUGUGGAAUUCCCGGUGUAGCGGUGAAAUGCGCAGAUAUCGGGAAGAACACCCGUGGCGAAGGCGGCACUCUGGGACGUUACUGACGCUGAGACGCGAAAGCGUGGGGAGCAAACAGG